rnacentral:rRNA from 1 species
UACGUAGGUGUCGAGCGUUGUCCGGAUUUAUUGGGCGUAAAGCGUCCGCAGGUGGACAUACAAGUCUGCUGUCAAAGUGCAGAGCUUAACUCUGUAAAGGCGGUGGAAACUGUAGGUCUUGAGUAUGGUAGGGGUAGAGGGAAUUCCCGGUGUAGCGGUGAAAUGCGUAGAUAUCGGGAAGAACACCAGUGGCGAAAGCGCUCUACUGGGCCAUAACUGACACUGAGGGACGAAAGCUAGGGGAGCGAAAGGG